AGAGUUUGAUCCUGGCUCAGGACGAACGCUGGCGGCGUGCUUAACACAUGCAAGUCGAACGGUGAAGGAGAGCUUGCUCUUUGGAUCAGUGGCGAACGGGUGAGUAACACGUGAGCAAUCUGCCCUUGACUCUGGGAUAAGCGUUGGAAACGACGUCUAAUACCGGAUAUGACAGCCGACGGCAUCGUCUGGUUGUGGAAAGAAUUUCGGUCAAGGAUGAGCUCGCGGCCUAUCAGCUUGUUGGUGAGGUAAUGGCUCACCAAGGCGACGACGGGUAGCCGGCCUGAGAGGGUGACCGGCCACACUGGGACUGAGACACGGCCCAGACUCCUACGGGAGGCAGCAGUGGGGAAUAUUGCACAAUGGGCGCAAGCCUGAUGCAGCAACGCCGCGUGAGGGACGACGGCCUUCGGGUUGUAAACCUCUCUUAGUAGGGAAGAAGUGGCUGUUUUUUCAGUCGUGACGGUACCUGCAGAAAAAGCACCGGCUAACUACGUGCCAGCAGCCGCGGUAAUACGUAGGGUGCAAGCGUUGUCCGGAAUUAUUGGGCGUAAAGAGCUCGUAGGCGGUUUGUCGCGUCUGCUGUGAAAACCCGAGGCUCAACCUCGGGCCUGCAGUGGGUACGGGCAGACUAGAGUGCGGUAGGGGAGAUUGGAAUUCCUGGUGUAGCGGUGGAAUGCGCAGAUAUCAGGAGGAACACCGAUGGCGAAGGCAGAUCUCUGGGCCGUAACUGACGCUGAGAAGCGAAAGCAUGGGGAGCGAACAGGAUUAGAUACCCUGGUAGUCG
rnacentral:rRNA from 1 species